CCUACGGGAGGCUGCAGUGAGGAAUAUUGGUCAAUGGCCGGAAGGCUGAACCAGCCAUGCCGCGUGAAGGGCAGGGACCUAUGGGCGUUAAACUUCUUUUGUGCGGGAGCAAGAAUGGUCACGUGGGGCCAGACGAGAGUACCGUACGAAUAAGCAGCGGCGAACUCCGUGCCAGCAGCCGCGGUAAUACGGGGGAUGCAAGCGGUCUCCGGCUUUAGUGGGGUUCAAGGGUGCGGAGGCUGUGAGGUAAGGCAGCGGUGAAAUGCCCCCGCUCAACGGGGGGAAGGGCCAUUGAUACUGCCUUGCUGGACUGCGGCUGCCGUGGGCGUAAUGUGUGUUGUAGCCG
rnacentral:rRNA from 1 species